rnacentral:rRNA from 1 species
UACGAAGGGGGCUAGCGUUAAUCGGAUUUACUGGGCGUAAAGCGUGCGUAGGCGGUUCAUUAAGUCGGUUGUGAAAUCCCUGGGCUUAACCUGGGAACUGCAGUCGAUACUGAUGGACUAGAGUACGGUAGAGGGUGGCGGAACUCCGGGUGUAGCGGUGAAAUGCGUAGAUAUCCGGAAGAACACCGAUGGCGAAGGCAACCACCUGGGCCUGUACUGACGCUGAGGUACGAAAGCGUGGGGAGCAAACAGG